CCUGGAGCGGGUGCAGGAGUUCUGC
rnacentral:misc_RNA from 1 species